CACACACACACUGACAGACACAGAUACACACACACACUGACAGACAUAGAUACACACAGACACACUGACAGACAUACACACACACACACUGACAGACAUAGAUACACACACACACUGACAGACAUAUACACAAACACACUGACAGACAUAGAUACACACAGACACACUGACAGACAUACACACACACACACUGACAGACAUAGAUACACACACACACACACUGACAGACAUAGAUACACACACACACACACACUGACAGACAUACACACACACACACA